UUAAGUUCAGCGGGUAUCCCUACCUGAUCCGAGGUCAAGAGUAAAAAAAGGUCUUUUGGAUGCCAAAGCACCAGCUAAGAGUACGCGAUUUGCUGCGCUCAAAGCCGAAUUACCAGGCUGCCAAUUACUUUAAGGCGAGUCCACACGCAAUGGCAGGACAAACACCCAACACCAAGCAAAGCUUGAGGGUUCAAAUGACGCUCGAACAGGCAUGCCCCAUGGAAUACCAAGGGGCGCAAUGUGCGUUCAAAGAUUCGAUGAUUCACGGAAUUCUGCAAUUCACACUACUUAUCGCAUUUCGCUGCGUUCUUCAUCGAUGCCAGAACCAAGAGAUCCAUUGUUGAAAGUUGUGAUUAUUGUGUUUUGUAUCAGAAGGUACUGCUGAAUGCAAAGGGUUUUGGGGUACCCAUCGGCGGGAGACCCGCCGAGGGAACAACAAAUGGUGAGGUGGACAAGGGUAGAAUGGGGGCCGGAGCCCGAAUUCAGGUAAUGAUCCUU
rnacentral:misc_RNA from 1 species